rnacentral:tRNA from 1 species
AGUUAAUGAAUUUGAAUAAGUUUAUAUUUUGAAAAUAUAAGAUAGAAAUUAAAAUUUUCUAUUAACUA